rnacentral:rRNA from 1 species
UACGUAGGGGGCAAGCGUUGUCCGGAAUCAUUGGGCGUAAAGAGCGUGUAGGCGGCUUGGUAAGUCCGCUGUGAAAGUCCAGGGCUCAACCCUGGAAAGCCGGUGAAAACUGUCAAGCUUGAGUCCGGAAGAGGCGAGUGGAAUUCCUGGUGUAGCGGUGAAAUGCGCAGAUAUCAGGAGGAACACCAAUGGCGAAGGCAGCUCGCUGGGACGGUACUGACGCUGAGACGCGAAAGCGUGGGGAGCAAACAGG